GCUGGGCAUGGUGGUGUGUGCCUGUAAUCCCAGCUACUGGGGAGGCUGAGGCAGGGGAAUGGCUUGAACCCAGGAGGUGGAGGUUGUAGUGAGCCAAGAUUGUGCCACUGCACUCUAGCCUGGGUGAUAGAGUAAGACUCCGUCUCAA
rnacentral:SRP_RNA from 2 species